rnacentral:rRNA from 1 species
UACGUAGGGUGCAAGCGUUGUCCGGAAUUAUUGGGCGUAAAGAGCUCGUAGGCGGUCUGUCGCGUCUGCUGUGAAAACUCAGGGCUUAACCCUGAGCUUGCAGUGGGUACGGGCAGACUAGAGUGCGGUAGGGGAGACUGGAAUUCCUGGUGUAGCGGUGAAAUGCGCAGAUAUCAGGAGGAACACCGGUGGCGAAGGCGGGUCUCUGGGCCGAUACUGACGCUGGAGGAAGCGAAAGCGUGGGGAGCGAACAGG